UUGAUAUUGGAUUAGACGUCUCAGGUCGGUACAGAGUCAUUUGAUGAAAUAUUGUCCAUGAAAAUAAAACCGAAACUAAAAGUAUAUGACCUCAAAGGACGAAAUAACUUGGCCAAAAAAAUAAGGUAUUUGACGGGAUUCAGUCUCAUGGUAAUCCAGUACAUCUGCAACAAUGAUUAAAAUUUCUUUGGAGUAACAGGACUAGCGAAUAAUGAAUUAUAUGCCUUUGUAUUAUUCUACCAACAUCCCACAAUAAUAUAAUUGUUAAAAGUUCGUGUAUAAGUUUUUAAAAACUUUAUAAAAGCUUUCGAAGUUUCGAACCCUUCUUUGGCCUCUGGCUUCAUCUUCAGCCCAAAUGAACUCUCGUGAUACAGAGCUUUUCCGAACAAAUUCCAACAUGCAUUGUAAUUCACAAGCUAACAAUAUUCACCUUUAAAUAUCCCCGACAGUCACGUCAACUCCUGAAGGAGAUCCAGCCGAUCAUCAUAACGCUAGUGAACCCGAUUAGGCCGAAGCUAGGUUCGAGAGCCAGUCACGUGUAUGACAUUUCUUUCUUUUUUCUUUUUUUUUUUCGACGUGACAAUAACUAACUGAAACUCGGUGUUCGUGGUAAGACGUUGGCGCUCGAGUUCAGUACUUUAACGAAGUUUUUCUCUUUUAUUUGCACCAGGACUUGUGUACUUUGUGUUAGUGAAUCAAGCUGGAUAAAUGCACCUGCAAAACCAGUUAAUUGAGGAAAGACACUGACAACAGAGUUUAUAGUUAUAGGGUAAAAAACCGCAUGGUACAGGGGUGGACCAUGUAGAUCAAUGUGUACAACCCCAAGAAAAGUACAUUAUAACGCGUCCUGACACCGGAGUAGAGGUCUUUAGCUCCGUUUCUCACCAACAACAAGUCGCAUCUGAUGCCCAUCUCCGAUGUCAGGACGCGUUAUAAUGUACUUUAUUUGGGGUUGUACACAUUGAUCGUAAAUGGUCCCCCAUGUACCAUGCGGUUUUUUACCCUAGUACCAAUUUUAUGGCAUUCAGAUCCUAUAGGCUAUACUAUAUUUCUGAACAGAUACGUAAAAGAAAUUUGAUACAGAUUAAACCAGAGAGCCAUUUUCAGCUCCUCGUCAGCUGAAGCAAAAUGAAACGUCCUAAGGAACAACUUGAUAAGUCAGUACAUAUUUAUAACUACGUACAUUGGAAUGACAAGAGCUGAAUCUUGGACAUAAAAGUCCUGGCACAAGAGGGAAAUAACAGUAAAGAACUGAAUGAUGCAAAAAACAUACUGAAAGUCCAUCACUUGAAGAAAGGGAUGUAAUGAGGACUUUCUUUAUUUCUAGUCAAAGUGAACCAAGUGAGAUGCAAUCAAAAUUCCACAGGCCCUGGGUGAGAUCGGCCAAGAACAUCUUUUAUUCUAACUCCAAUAGAAUUUGUUUCAAGUUACCACAUGAGUUUCAAGAGUUAGUAUAUUGGACUGUUCUGCGGGCCGUGCUCACCCUAGGUCCGUCGACAGCGUUGACGAGUGAGUCCACCUGCAGAGGGGGUGGGCCUCCUGUUGGGGCAGGCAGAGGACUGGUUGCUGGGGAUGAUGUGCUGCUGCUACUUUUGGAGACAGUGAUGACAUUUCCCAUCUGUCAGUAAGGCUGGAGUCUAGAGAUGGUUGGUGUUAAGUUUCAAGUUUCAAUGACACAAGUGUGAUUUCUACAUUAUCAGUUUCUGUCUUCGGGAUCACUGGCCUAUUUGGCUAUUAGGAAGAAGUCAAUCUGAUGAAACUACUUAUCAAUGACAGCAGUAAUUCUGAUAUGAGCAAAAUCUACAGUACACUGUAAUCACAACGAUUAUGAUACCAAAGUGUUCUACUGCUGGAUUAUGAUACCAAAGUGUUCUACUGCUCAGAAUGGUAAGAGUUGCUGCAAUUAGUAAAUCAACAUAAAGUUGUUUGAAUGUUAACAUUUACACGAAAACAAAUUUACUGGGACGCAACACCAAAAAUAUAUCACAAAGAUAAUGCACAACACCCUCAUAACAGACAAAACAUUAAUACACCACCUCUGUUUCUUUGGAAUCCAGUUAUUCGGCGUAGUUCUUCAAAGGCUCCAAGGGAUCCCUCUGUAACUUAGGUUAGAAAAUAAUAUACAGUAUAAUACACGGUGCUAGUUGUAAAAUAAGGACUGUGAGAGUUGAGUUAAUGAAACUAGUCUAGAGAAGGAAAAAAAAACACUAAAUUUAUACAAUCAACAAAGCUUUUCUCUAAAAUGAGUGAUUAUGACUACCAGUAUUAGCAUUCCAGAUUAUGAGUAAAGACCUACGCCAGGGCAUACUUUUGAAAAUAUAUUACAAAAAAACAACUAAGUACGUAUUACAAAACUGAAUGCAGUAUGAUCUUGAACUUUUGGAGUAAACUAGUCAUUCCAUUCCAAGUUGCCAGUUUUGUGAAAUUAACAGUUAACCUUACACAUUUACAAAUAUCUUUCAAGAGUAUGUUGCCCCUCUGGUGUUAAAUAGUGAUAUAAUGAUAAACGGGGGGGACAGAACAUUCACACUGACAAGUGAGGGCUACAUCUAUGACUAAAAUUAGUCACAUUAACUGAAUUUUAAGUCAUGCAAGGAUUAUGAAAAUAGGUGCAAUAAAGUGAAUAACCAAAGUUCAUCAUCGAAAUCUUGACUGCUUUCAAUAUCAAAGGUGUAACCAAUACUUCAUGUAAGUUUAAAGUAUAAAAUCUCCUAUUAACCUGAUUCAUUUCAAUAUCUUGGGAAAAAAGUUUUGGUGGAGGAACAUGAAAGAAUACUGUUGAUGUCUACUGCAAUACUUAUACGUACUGAUAAGCAUUAGAAAUAUCAUGAAAAGUCCAAAGGUGACUUAACAAUAAAAGUAGAUAAGCUCCUCUAUCAUAUGGAAGCAAGCAUGUAAAAAAUAUACUGCUAAUAACUAUCCAAUGCCUUAUAAUAGUUUUACAAGUGUAUUAAGAGUUUUGUUCCAUGUAUAAUAAAAUUAUAAUGGCUUGUACAAUGCAUUUAAAAGUAUAUCAAGCAUUUACCACUUCAACAAAUGCCUAUACUUGGUACAGUUGUGAAUGUUCCACUUCCUAUUGUAUAUUACUAUUAUUAUUAUUAUUAUUAUUAUUAUUAU